AUUGAACGCUGGCGGCAGGCCUAACACAUGCAAGUCGAACGAGUGGCGGACGGGUGAGUAAUGUCUGGGAAACUGCCUGAUGGAGGGGGAUAACUACUGGAAACGGUAGCUAAUACCGCAUACCAUCAGAUUGACCCGUAUGGGCUUAGCUGGUGGUUGGGGUAACGGCUAACCAAGGCGACGAUCCCUAGCUGGUCUGAGAGGAUGACCAGCCACACUGGAACUGAGACACGGUCCAGACUCCUACGGGAGGCAGCAGUGGGGAAUAUUGCACAAUGGGCGCAAGCCUGAUGCAGCCAUGCCGCGUGUAUGAAGAAGGCCUUCGGGUUGUAAAGUACUUUCAGCGGGGAGGCGUUACCCGCAGAAGAAGCACCGGCUAACUCCGUGCCAGCAGCCGCGGUAAUAC
rnacentral:rRNA from 1 species